UCUCAAUUUGGAGAUAAUUUUUUUGGUCCAAAAAUUUUGAGAUUUCUGCCUUCUUUAGGACCAUGCCUCCUGGAUGAAAAAUCUUCGAUUUAAUUUUUGCAAUAUAGUACCGGACUACUCUUUGUUGAUAUAUUGCCAUCCAAACUUGAGCUUAUUGUCGGACCUUUGAAAGUAGUCUAGAUCGCUCUCCGAUAUUCUGAAUUACUCAGCUCACUGUAUUGUUCCUCCCUUACUGAUGGUAAUCCAAUUUCAAGUGGGAUCAUCGCUUGUGUUUCAUAGAUCAGAUUGAAUGGUGAUUCUUUCGUUGGUAUGUGAGGAGUCGUUCCAUAUGUCCAUA
rnacentral:lncRNA from 1 species